rnacentral:rRNA from 1 species
AUGAACGCUGGCGGCGUGCCUCAUACAUGCAAGUCGAGCGAACAGACGAGGAGCUUGCUCCUCUGAUGUUAGCGGCGGACGGGUGAGUAACACGUGGAUAACCUACCUAUAAGACUGGGAUAACUUCGGGAAACCGGAGCUAAUACCGGAUAACAUGUUGAACCGCAUGGUUCAACAGUGAAAGACGGUCUUGCUGUCACUUAUAGAUGGAUCCGCGCCGCAUUAGCUAGUUGGUAAGGUAACGGCUUACCAAGGCAACGAUGCGUAGCCGACCUGAGAGGGUGAUCGGCCACACUGGAACUGAGCCACGGUCCAGACUCCUACGGGAGGCAGCAGUAGGGAAUCUUCCGCAAUGGGCGAAAGCCUGACGGAGCAACGCCGCGUGAGUGAAGAAGGUCUUCGGAUCGUAAAACUCUGUUAUUAGGGAAGAACAAAUGUGUAAGUAACUAUGCACGUCUUGACGGUACCUAAUCAGAAAGCCACGGCUAACUACGUG